rnacentral:rRNA from 1 species
UACGUAGGGUGCGAGCGUUAAUCGGAAUUACUGGGCGUAAAGCGUGCGCAGGCGGCUUCGCGAGUCAGGCGUGAAAUCCCCGGGCUUAACCUGGGAAUGGCGUCUGAAACUACGGAGCUGGAGUGUGGCAGAGGGAGGUAGAAUUCCACGUGUAGCGGUGAAAUGCGUAGAUAUGUGGAGGAAUACCGAUGGCGAAGGCAGCCUCCUGGGCCAACACUGACGCUCAUGCACGAAAGCGUGGGGAGCAAACAGG